UACGGAAGGCAGCAGGGGGGAAUAUUGCACAAUGGGCGCAAGCCUGAUGCAGCCAUGCCGCGUGUAUGAAGAAGGCCUUCGGGUUGUAAAGUACUUUCAGUCGUGAGGAAGGUGUUAAGGUUAAUAACCUUAGCAAUUGACGUUAGCGACAGAAGAAGCACCGGCUAACUCCGUGCCAGCAGCCGCGGUAAUACGGAGGGUGCGAGCGUUAAUCGGAAUUACUGGGCGUAAAGGGCACGCAGGCGGUUAAUUAAGUUGGAUGUGAAAUCCCCGGGCUUAACCUGGGAAUGGCAUUCAAGACUGGUUAGCUAGAGUCUUGUAGAGGGGGUAGAAUUCCAUGUGUAGCGGUGAAAUGCGUAGAGAUGUGGAGGAAUACCGGUGGCGAAGGCGGCCCCUGGACAAAGACUGACGCUCAUGUGCGAAAGCGUGGGGAGCGAAACAGGGAUUUAGAUACCCG
rnacentral:rRNA from 1 species